CGAACCGCACUGUAGCAUAUUUCAACUAUCGUGCCUGCUAUUGUUUACAUAGAGCUACUCACAGUUUUGUCCUGUGCUUGUUUCGAGCACAGUGCAUAUCGUAAUCUUGCUUAUAAACUGAAAUGUGACCUGUGGCAUUAUUGCGUGAAUGCUUAUGUUGCACACUUAAUGAAUAAGGUCCUCAAGUGUGUAGAGUUUCGCUGAGUUCGUUGUUUAUUUACAUUUUCCUCAGCAUAACUGUACAGCUGACACCGCUGCCUUUUGUAUCAUAACAAAGCCUGUCACUUCCACAUUUCGUUCUUAUGUGGCCGAAGUCACUGGCUACUGCACCAGAGAGAGUCUCUGCACUCAUUGCUGGUCCUAUGAUGCCAUCUAUUGGCGAAAACGUGCAACAGCAUAAUUAAACUAAAAGACAACUUCUGACAGGACAACAAAAAGACAGGGAAUGAGAAUAAGGGAAUAAUAAGGGAAUAACAAAAAGACAAAAAUGGGGGGUCCACUACACUUGCAUACAAACUGAUUGUGAUGCUGUCACUCAUUUUCUAGUCUAUAUCUUGGACUGAAAAAACCUUAUUAUGUUUUCAGGUGUUUUGCCCCUGCGGUUGUGAAGAGGAUGCUGUGGAGGUGGCAGCAUGAACGUGUCACACAGACAUUGGCUAAACUACUCGGCUUCUACACUUGCCCUCAGAGUUCACAUAUGGUUAAGUGCACAGGUGUCCAGCCAGGUUCAGACUGAUGCUGGUAACAAGAGGAAAACAUGCUGAUUGGAAUGAUUCAACGAUGGACAUUUUGCUUAAUUGUGGAAAAAAAUAAAUGGAAAAAC